rnacentral:lncRNA from 1 species
GUAGAAGUUUAUUUGGAUGGAGAACUUGGACCUAUUGGAGGAGAAAAUAUGGAUGAUGACCCCAUCAUUAUCAGCUACCAUUGAUGGUGGUCUACAUCAAUGAAGUUGGGGGGGUGUUUGGUUUGCAAUUGGAAUCCGAAUGGAAAUCGGAAUGAAUUGAAAUCAGAAUCGGAAUGGUCAAAUCCCUCAAAGUGUUUAGUUUGUGAUUGGGACCAUAAUUGAAAUCGAAAUCAGAAUAAAAAAUUAAAUCACAGGGGAG